CUGAUAUGUAAGCAAAAGCCAGUCUCUAAGCAGCAAUGAGGCAUCUGUUGGGGAUAUACACACAUAAAAUAUUUUGAAAAAAACAUUGCAAAAAUGUUUUCUUCCUUACCUGUACAGGUAGAGUAGAAUGUCACAGUCUCUGUUUUUUAACUUUGUGAAUGGGAGUCAUCGGACUUAAUGACUAAUGGUGUAAGUCACUGGAAAAUGUCCUUUUGAAUUGCAGACACUGGUUUUAGUCUUUUUGCAGUUUGACUUUCGAAGACAAGAAGUUGCAUAAAGGACAUGUUGAGCUGAUAGCCAGAGAAAAUAAAUGUUAAUGUGCAUUUAUUAUUUGUUUAUGUUUGUAUAGCCUUCAUAUUUACAUAGAAUAGGGACAUUUAUCUCUUCUGCUUUUUUAUAUGUUUAUUACAUAUCAUUAUUAAUAGAAUUGUACUUAUUGGUAGGUUUUUAUUUGGGGCAAUUUUAAUAUGUUUGUGCAUUUGAUGCUUCUUGACUUCCUAGAGAUCAUAAAACGUUAGUCCAGUCCAUGUUAGCUUUGAGUGAAAAUUUCUAAUCUUUUGAAGAUAGAUUAGAUGCCCCAUUAACUUCGAGUGAAAAUUUCUGAUUUUCUAGAGACUGGAUGUAUUAAAAACCUGAGUUACUUUGUGAAAAUACUAUAUUAUUAGUUAUGUUUAGGCACAGAAA
rnacentral:lncRNA from 1 species